AGCGGCNGGCUUAACACAUGCGAGUCGCGCGAGAAUAGGGGCUUCGGCUCCUUAGUAAAGCGGCGGACGGGUGCGUAACACGUGGGUAAUGUGCCCUUCAGCGGGGGACAACAGUCCGAAAGGAUUGCUAAUACCGCAUACGUCGGCGAGCGCUCAGGCGCUUGUCGGGAAAGGUGGCCUCUUCAUGAAAGCUACCACUGGAGGAGCAGCCCGCGGCCCAUCAGCUAGUAGGCGGGGUAACGGCCCACCUAGGCAUAGACGGGUAGCUGGUCUGAGAGGAUGAUCAGCCACACUGGAACUGAGACACGGUCCAGACUCCUACGGGAGGCAGCAGUGGGGAAUAUUGGGCAAUGGGCGCAAGCCUGACCCAGCCAUGCCGCGUGAGUGAUGAAGGCCUUCGGGUCGUAAAGCUCUGUGGGGAGGGACGAAACAGCACGUGGCUAACAUCCACGGGUCUUGACGGUACCUCCUUAGCAAGCACCGGCUAACUCCGUGCCAGCAACCGCGGUAAUACGGA
rnacentral:rRNA from 1 species